GCUUGCUAGAUUGAUGGCGAGUGGCGAACGGGUGAGUAAUACAUCGGAACGUGCCCUGUAGUGGGGGAUAACUAGUCGAAAGAUUAGCUAAUACCGCAUACGACCUGAGGGUGAAAGUGGGGGACCGCAAGGCCUCAUGCUAUAGGAGCGGCCGAUGUCUGAUUAGCUAGUUGGUGGGGUAAAGGCCCACCAAGGCGACGAUCAGUAGCUGGUCUGAGAGGACGAUCAGCCACACUGGGACUGAGACACGGCCCAGACUCCUACGGGAGGCAGCAGUGGGGAAUUUUGGACAAUGGGCGAAAGCCUGAUCCAGCAAUGCCGCGUGUGUGAAGAAGGCCUUCGGGUUGUAAAGCACUUUUGUCCGGAAAGAAAUGGCUCUGGUUAAUACCUGGGGUCGAUGACGGUACCGGAAGAAUAAGGACCGGCUAACUACGUGCCAGCAGCCGCGGUAAUACGUAGGGUCCAAGCGUUAAUCGGAAUUACUGGGCGUAAAGCGUGCGCAGGCGGUUGUGCAAGACCGAUGUGAAAUCCCCGAGCUUAACUUGGGAAUUGCAUUGGUGACUGCACGGCUAGAGUGUGUCAGAGGGGGGUAGAAUUCCACGUGUAGCAGUGAAAUGCGUAGAGAUGUGGAGGAAUACCGAUGGCGAAGGCAGCCCCCUGGGAUAACACUGACGCUCAUGCACGAAAGCGUGGGGAGCAAACAGGAUUAGAUACCCUGGUAGUCCACGCCCUAAACGAUGUCAACUAGUUGUUGGGGAUUCAUUUCCUUAGUAACGUAGCUAACGCGUGAAGUUGACCGCCUNNNNAGUACGGUCGCAAGAUUAANNCUCAAAGGAAUUGACGGGGACCC
rnacentral:rRNA from 1 species